AAGCCCUUUGGGUAGUUAUGAUGGUGCCAUGUGUUCGUCAAAUGUGUUCCCCUUUCAGGCCAAGCUGCUGCAAGCCAAGCUGGAUUACUCAUGCCCAGUGCUGACUGGAGGGCGGAAUAUCUUUGCUGGCUGCUGAGAUGAUAUCAUGGCAAUGAGACAGGAAGUUAUCAUGUGAAAAGUAUGCGGUGUCUACAGCAAGAGCAGUGAGUUCCCAUCCUUCACUCUAUGGAAAACCUACGAAACUUCUUUCGGAAAACUCUGGCUUUGGGUCUUAAGGUAUCUAACCGACAUGCCGGGAUACAGAAUCGGUGAUGAAAAUGGGAGUCAGGGCGCUGACAAGAACACUGGAAAUUUCCACCAGAGAUUUCACAACACAAUGAGAGAAACCAGAAGACAGACAUGCUGAAGUCCUGUGCCUUACGCACCAGAAUAAGCUCAUUAAAUAUUUCUUUGAUGAAUGAA